rnacentral:rRNA from 1 species
UACGUAGGGGGCAAGCGUUGUCCGGAUUUAUUGGGCGUAAAGAGCGUGUAGGCGGCCAUUCAGGUCAGCUGUGAAAACUCGAGGCUCAACCUCGAGACGUCGGUUGAAACCGUUUGGCUAGAGUCCGGAAGAGGAGAGUGGAAUUCCUGGUGUAGCGGUGAAAUGCGCAGAUAUCAGGAGGAACACCCGUGGCGAAAGCGGCUCUCUGGGACGGUACUGACGCUGAGACGCGAAAGCGUGGGGAGCAAACAGG